rnacentral:rRNA from 1 species
ACUGAUCGGCCACAAUGGAACUGAGACACGGUCCAUACUCCUACGGGAGGCAGCAGUAGGGAAUCUUCCACAAUGGGCGCAAGCCUGAUGGAGCAACACCGCGUGAGUGAAGAAGGGUUUCGGCUCGUAAAGCUCUGUUGUUGGAGAAGAACGUGCGUGAGAGUAACUGUUCACGCAGUGACGGUAUCCAACCAGAAAGUCACGGCUAACUACGUGCCAGCAGCCGCGGUAAUACGUAGGUGGCAAGCGUUAUCCGGAUUUAUUGGGCGUAAAGCGAGCGCAGGCGGUUGCUUAGGUCUGAUGUGAAAGCCUUCGGCUUAACCGAAGAAGUGCAUCGGAAACCGGGCGACUUGAGUGCAGAAGAGGACAGUGGAACUCCAUGUGUAGCGGUGGAAUGCGUAGAUAUAUGGAAGAACACCAGUGGCGAAGGCGGCUGUCUGGUCUGCAACUGACGCUGAGGCUCGAAAGCAUGGGUAGCGAACAGGAUUAGAUACCCUGGUAGUCCAUGCCGUAAACGAUGAGUGCUAGGUGUUGGAGGGUUUCCGCCCUUCAGUGCCGGAGCUAACGCAUUAAGCACUCCGCCUGGGGAGUACGACCGCAAGGUUGAAACUCAAAGGAAUUGACGGGGGCCCGCACAAGCGGUGGAGCAUGUGGUUUAAUUCGAAGCUACGCGAAGAACCUUACCAGGUCUUGACAUCUUGCGCUAACCUUAGAGAUAAGGCGUUCCCUUCGGGGACGCAAUGACAGGUGGUGCAUGGUCGUCGUCAGCUCGUGUCGUGAGAUGUUGGGUUAAGUCCCGCAACGAGCGCAACCCUUGUUACUAGUUGCCAGCAUUAAGUUGGGCACUCUAGUGAGACUGCCGGUGACAAACCGGAGGAAGGUGGGGACGA